rnacentral:ncRNA from 1 species
GCUUGACUGCGAGACCUACAAGUCGAGCAGGGACGAAAGUCGGGCUUAGUGAUCCGGUGGUUCCGCAUGGAAGGGCCAUCGCUCAACGGAUAAAAGCUACCCUGGGGAUGCUUGACUGCGAGACCUACAAGUCGAGCAGGGACGAAAGUCGGGCUUAGUGAUCCGGUGGUUCCGCAUGGAAGGGCCAUCGCUCAACGGAUAAAAGCUACCCUGGGGAUAACAGGCUUAUCUCCCCCAAGAGUCCACAUCGACGGGGAGGUUUGGCACCUCGAUGUCGGCUCAUCGCAUCCUGGGGCUGAAGUAGGUCCCAAGGGUUGGGCUGUUCGCCCAUUAAAGCGGUACGCGAGCUGGGUUCAGAACGUCGUGAGACAGUUCGGUCCCUAUCCGUCGCGGGCGUAGGAAAUUUGAGAGGAGCUGUCCUUAGUACGAGAGGACCGGGAUGGACACACCGCUGGUGUACCAGUUGUUCCGCCAGGAGCAUAGCUGGGUAGCUACGUGUGGAAGGGAUAAGUGCUGAAAGCAUCUAAGCAUGAAGCCCCCCUCGAGAUGAGAUUUCCCUUGGAGUUAAUCCAGUAAGACCCCUUAAAGAUGAUGAGGUUGAUAGGUCUCGGGUGGAAGCACGGCGACGUGUGGAGCUGAGAGAUACUAAUCGGUCGAGGACUUAUCCUA